GGUGAGAUGGCCGAGUGGUUAUGGCGCUGCGUUCAGGUCUACCUGAAUUAAGAAAAAAUAUCAAAUAAAUAUCGCAGUGGAGCAAUCCGCGUGGGUUCGAGUCCCACUUUCAUCA